AUUGAACGCUGGCGGCAUGCUUUACACAUGCAAGUCGAACGGUAACAGGCCUUCGGGCGCUGACGAGUGGCGAACGGGUGAGUAAUGCAUCGGAACGUGCCCAGUCGUGGGGGAUAACGCAGCGAAAGCUGUGCUAAUACCGCAUACGAUCUGCGGAUGAAAGCGGGGGACCGUCGGGCCUCGCGCGAGUGGAGCGGCCGAUGUCAGAUUAGGUAGUUGGGGGGGUAAACGCUCACCAAGCCCAAGAUCUGUAGCGGGUCUGAGAGGAAGACCGGCCACACUGGGACUGAGACACGGCCCAAACUCAUACGGGAGGCAGCAGUGGGGAAUUUUGGACAAUGGGCGAAAGCCUGAUCCAGCAAUGCCGCGUGCAGGAAGAAGGCCUUCGGGUUGUAAACUGCUUUUGUACGGAGCGAAAAAGCUCCCUCUAAUACAGGGGGCUCAUGACGGUACCGUAAGAAUAAGCACCGGCUAACUACGUGCCAGCCGCCGCCGUAAGAC
rnacentral:rRNA from 1 species